GGGGCCAUAGCUCAGCUGGGAGAGCGUCUGCUUUGCACGCAGGAGGUCAGGAGUUCGAUCCUCCUUGGCUCCACCA
rnacentral:tRNA from 1 species